CCCUUAGAUGUUCUGGGCCGCACGCGUGCUACACUGAGUGGAUCAGCGGGUCAGGUUGCGCGAAAGCGUUUCCUAAUCUUUAAAUCCGCUCGUGAUGGGGAUUGACGGUUGCAAUUUUCUGUCAUGAACGAGGAAUACCUUGUAAGCGCGGGUCAUCAUCCCGCGCUGAAUACGUCCCUGCCCCUUGUACACACCGCCCGUCGCUCCUACCGAUUGAGUGGUCCGGUGAGGCUUUGGGAUCUGAGCGGAAAGAGCGUCUCGCUGUUUCUGCUCGGAAAACUCAGUCGAACCUUAUCAUUUAGAGGAAGGAGAAGUCGUAACA
rnacentral:rRNA from 1 species